AGUGAACGCUGGCGGUAGGCCUAACACAUGCAAGUCGAACGGCAGCACAGUAAGAGCUCGCUCUUACGGGUGGCGAGUGGCGGACGGGUGAGGAAUACAUCGGAAUCUACUUUUUCGUGGGGGAUAACGUAGGGAAACUUACGCUAAUACCGCAUACGACCUACGGGUGAAAGCAGGGGAUCUUCGGACCUUGCGCGAUUGAAUGAGCCGAUGUCGGAUUAGCUAGUUGGCGGGGUAAAGGCCCACCAAGGCGACGAUCCGUAGCUGGUCUGAGAGGAUGAUCAGCCACACUGGAACUGAGACACGGUCCAGACUCCUACGGGAGGUAGCAGUGGGGAAUAUUGGACAAUGGGCGCAAGCCUGAUCCAGCCAUACCGCGUGGGUGAAGAAGGCCUUCGGGUUGUAAAGCCCUUUUGUUGGGAAAGAAAAGCAGCAGGUUAAUACCCCGCUGUUCUGACGGUACCCAAAGAAUAAGCACCGGCUAACUUCGUG
rnacentral:rRNA from 1 species